GAAUUAUGAAGUAUAGAGCCAUAGGUUACACAGUGCAGGGUGAAGAGUAGCUAUAUUUAAUUAUGUCCAAGAGACUAAGGCUUCAUGUCUGAAACAUCGUAUCCUUGUUUUGUUUUGCCUCUAGGACCAAAAUUAAAUAUGGCUACUCUUUACCCUGCACUGUGUAGCCUAUGGCUUAUAGUUUUGUGUUUAUAU